rnacentral:rRNA from 1 species
GACGAACGCUGGCGGCGUGCUUAACACAUGCAAGUCGAACGGAAAGGCCCUGCUUUUGUGGGGUGCUCGAGUGGCGAACGGGUGAGUAACACGUGAGUAACCUGCCCUUGACUUUGGGAUAACUUCAGGAAACUGGGGCUAAUACCGGAUAGGAGCUCCUGCUGCAUGGUGGGGGUUGGAAAGUUUCGGCGGUUGGGGAUGGACUCGCGGCUUAUCAGCUUGUUGGUGGGGUAGUGGCUUACCAAGGCUUUGACGGGUAGCCGGCCUGAGAGGGUGACCGGGCACAUUGGGGGAGUGGUACAGCCCAGACGCCUACGGGGGGGAGCAGUGGGGAAUAUUUUACAAAGGGGGGAGGACUGAUGCAGCAACGCCGCGUGCGGGAGGGAGGCGCUCGGGUUGUAAAACGCGUUUGCCCGUGAGGAAGAGUGAGGGAGGGUGAUAGGGAAAAAAAAACAGGGGAAAAACGCG